rnacentral:pre_miRNA from 1 species
GAUGGGCAUAAACAACAAUCUAAUCUGAAACAAGGUACAUAUCAGAGUGUUUCUUAAAUUUGAUUAUUGAAACCUCUGUAUAUACCUUUCAUUGGAUUAAACUGAUAAGCACAUGUUUCAAA